CCUUGUACACACCGCCCGUCAAGUCACCUGAAUUGUCUGCACCCGAAGCCAGUGGCCAAACCGUAAGGAUGGAGCUGUCUAAGGUGUGGGGAGUAAGGGGACU
rnacentral:rRNA from 1 species